UAAUCUGUGGUGCAAUGGGAGCACACUGGACUUUGACUCCAGAGAUGAAGGUUCGAAUCCUUCCAGGUUAA
rnacentral:tRNA from 1 species